CUAGCUUCAGCGAUGGAUCGGUCGAUUCGCGUAUCGAUGAAAAACGCAGCUAGCUGCGUUAUUUACCACGAAUUGCA
rnacentral:rRNA from 1 species